GACAAAAAGAAAAACACAGACGGACUCAUUACAGUUACCCUAACUCCUUAGUGCAUAUCGAUAUAGAUAUCCUCUCUUGUGUUUAUUUAUUUAUUUAUGUAUGUAUGUAUGUAUGUAUGUAUUUUUUUUUUUUUUUAGAUUUUUCAAGUAUCUCUGUGUUUACCGCCCUGCCACUGUUCUUCCAUUCUGGUUCUGCAGCGCCCAAGAAACUGGUCCCAAACAUUGAGGCUUUUUUCCACGGUCUUACAGUUUGUUCAUUUUUUCGUGAUUAGCCCUUUUCCCACUUAAAGUUCAGCAGAAAAUGGCUUACACUGCUGCGGCCGACCAGAGUCCACUCUUCCAGAACCAGAACCCAUGCAGGUGGAUUCUACUGGUCUCUUACUGUCAGAGCGUCAUCGAAGACUUACUCUAGGAUUGUGUCUAUACUGUGGAGCAUCGGGGCAUACCAUCAUCUCAUGCCCCAUUCGCCCACCACGACACCUGUCUCGGCCCUCCUCCAUUCCGGAUUAAUUUAUUAAACGACAUAAGUCCGUCCCACACCACUGUAUUAUUAGAUAAAAUGCUGUGCUGUGAUCUUAUAUGAUAAAACAUUUAAUAAGGUGUUAAUAUGAUCAAUUCUGCUCAUAAAACAUUUCUCAGUAAUGAAUGAAAAGAAAAAAAGUUACCUUUUUUUUGUUUUUGUUUUUGCUUUUUUGUGUUUAAAAUGUUUACAAAAUUAUUCAUGCUGUACCUGUUCCAUCCUCCACAUUUUGCUCACCUAGUUUCUCUGGCACAUCCUUCUCUACCUUUUCACACAAAUGGACACUGAGCUGCUCACUAGGGAGGAAUCACGUAUGAAAGUUGCCACUUGCAAAUAACUGCUGCUGUAAGACCUGUCAUAAAAAAACAUAACGGCGACUUGGACAACUUAAACAGUUUUUGUCCUCUUUCAAAUCUACCGUUUCUUGCGAAAAUUCCAGAAUUUGUGGCUUUGCAGCUACAUAGUCAUCUCACAGUAAAUAAUCUUUUCGAACCCCUUCAGUCUGGAUUUAGAACAUCUCAUACUGUAGUACUGAGACAGCCUUGGUCAAGGUCAUCAUUGAUCUGUUAUUAGCCUCAGAUUCCACAAUCUGCGUAAUCUGGGAAUGGCUGUCUUUGGUGUUUCUGAGACUGUUUUAACUUUGUUUAGGUCAUUACCUAUCUGAUCGUUAAUAGUUUGUAUGUAUUGCCCCUUUUCCACCGAGGCAGUUUGAGUGCUGGUUUGGAGCCAGAGCCUAAUUUAGAACCAGUUAGAACCAGCACCGGCUCUGAACCAGGAAAAGUGGUUCUUAAGUAGCACCAAAACGUUGCUGGUCUAGACUUAAGAACCGCUUGCGUCAGUGGCUGUUGGCAGGGUAGCUGUUAGCACAUUUGGUAAUGUACCUAAAGUUUACUAGUAUUUAAUACACUUUUACUUUACCGCAAUAUAAUCACUUAUCAGCACACAUGAUAGUAGGUAGCUAAAGUACAUUCUAAGGCUAACUUUUUUCUGUGUUAAUGAUAAAAUAACGUUAUGUACUUUCUCGAUUACAACCUCCGUUUAUACAGAUUACAUGUAGCGGCAUGUACACGUUGGAUUAGCCGCGUUUGGAUGCCAAUGUAGGUUCACAAUUCCAUGAGCAUUAACAGUAACGCAACAUCCGCCAUUGUUGAUGUUGUGUUUGCCGCUGCUACGCUAAA